AUUGAACGCUAGCGGGAUGCCUUACACAUGCAAGUCGAACGGAGCGGCGAACGGGUGAGUAAUGCCUAGGAAUCUGCCUAGUAGUGGGGGAUAACGUCCGGAAAGCGUCGCUAAUACCGCAUACUAUCGGAGCGGCCUAGGUCGGAUUAGCUAGUUGGUGGGGUAAAGGCCUACCAAGGCGACGAUCCGUAACUGGUUUGAGAGGAUGAUCAGUCACACUGGAACUGAGACACGGCCCAGACUCCUACGGGAGGCAGCAGUGGGGAAUAUUGGACAAUGGGCGAAACCCUGAUCCAGCCAUGCCGCGUGUGUGAAGAAGGUCUUCGGAUUGUAAAGCACUUUAAGUUGGGAGGCGUUACCAACAGAAUAAGCACCGGCUAACUUCGUGCCAGCAGCCGCGGUAAUAC
rnacentral:rRNA from 1 species